rnacentral:rRNA from 1 species
UACGAGUGCCUCAAGCGUCGUCCGGAAUCAUUGGGCGUAAAGGGUGUGUAGGUGGUCGUGUUAGUCUUUUGUUAAAUUCUUCGGCUUAACCGGGGGCAUGCAAAAGAAACGGCACGACUCGAGGAUGCGAGGGGUCUGCGGAACUCAUAGUGUAGCGGUGAAAUGCGUUGAUAUUAUGGGGAACACCAAAAGCGAAGGCAGCAGACUGGAGCAUUCCUGACACUGAAACACGAAAGCGUGGGUAGCGAAUGGG